GAUGAACGCUGGCGGCGUGCCUAAUACAUGCAAGUCGAGCGAACAGACGAGGAGCUUGCUCCUUCGACGUUAGCGGCGGACGGGUGAGUAACACGUGGGUAACCUACCUAUAAGACUGGGAUAACUUCGGGAAACCGGAGCUAAUACCGGAUAAUAUUUCGAACCGCAUGGUUCGAUAGUGAAAGAUGGUUUUGCUAUCACUUAUAGAUGGACCUGCGCCGUAUUAGCUAGUUGGUAAGGUAACGGCUUACCGAGGCAACGAUACGUAGCCGACCUGAGAGGGUGAUCGGCCACACUGGAACUGAGACACGGUCCAGACUCCUACGGGAGGCAGCAGUAGGGAAUCUUCCGCAAUGGGCGAAAGCCUGACGGAGCAACGCCGCGUGAGUGAUGAAGGUCUUCGGAUCGUAAAACUCUGUUAUUAGGGAAGAACAAAUGUGUAAGUAACUGUGCACGUCUUGACGGUACCUAAUCAGAAAGCCACGGCUAACUACGUG
rnacentral:rRNA from 1 species